GGGUGAGGAACACGUGAGGAACCUGCCCCAAACUUUGCUAUAACAGUUGGAAACGACUGCUAAUACCAGAUGCCGUUACUUUGUCGCAUGGCGAGGGAACGAAAGUUUUUCGGUUUGGGAGGGCCUCGCGGCCUAUCAGCUUGUUGGUGAGGUAAUGGCUCACCAAGGCAACGACGGGUAGCUGGUCUGAGAGGAUGAUCAGCCACACUGGGACUGAGACACGGCCCAGACUCCUACGGGAGGCAGCAGUGGGGAAUCUUGCCCAAUGGGCGAAAGCCUGACGCAGCAACGCCGCUGUGCGGGAAGAAGGCCUUAGGGUUGUAAACCGCUUUCAGCAUGUAAGAAAAUGACUGUACCUGCAGAAGAAGGUGCGGCCAACUACGUGCCACCAGCCGCGGGGACACGUAGGCACCAAGCGUUGUCCGGAUUUAUUGGGC
rnacentral:rRNA from 1 species